AUAUCAGUCAUGCAUAGCAUAUCAAUAAGCGGAGGAAAAGAAACUAACAAGGAUUCCCUUAGUAACGGCGAGUGAAGCGGGAAGAGCUCAAAUUUGAAAUCUUCAAGGUUUUACCUUGACGAAUUGUAGUUUAAAGAAGUGUUUUCUGUUGAAGUUUUGGUAAAAGUUCUUUGGAAUAGGACAUCAUAGAGGGUGAGAAUCCCGUAUUUGACCAUUACUUUCAGCUUUGUGAUACACUUUCAAAGAGUCGGAUUGUUUGGGAAUGCAGUCCAAAAUGGGUGGUAAAUUUCAUCUAAAGCUAAAUAUUGGCGAGAGACCGAUAGCGAACAAGUACCGUGAGGGAAGAUGAAAAGAACUUUGAAAAGAGAGUUAAACAGUACGUGAAAUUGUCAAAAGGGAAGCGUUUGACACCAGUGUUGUUUUCUCGAAAAUCAAUUAAAAAGAGUUGGAUUUUGUGUUGUAUUGACUUUAUCAGCUUUCUUCACUCUUUUCCAGCUUUUUUUAAUGCACUUUUCGUUUAACAAGUCAACAUCAGUUUCUUUUGUUGUAAAAAGGUCAUUGGAAGGUGGCUUUCUCUUCGGAGAAAGUGUUUAUAGCCUUUGACUCAUGCAAUCGGAGAGACUGAGGUCUGCAGCGUAGAUCCUUCGGGGUUAGAUACAUUUGUGCUAAGUUAUAGCUUUUCAUAGACAACUUGUUGACUAUGUUUAGUCUUGUAGCUUACUCGCUUAUGCUAUUUUACCUACGCUUAGGAUGUUGAACUCUAUCACACACAG
rnacentral:rRNA from 1 species